GCUCACUCCCGCAGCACAGACUGAACUGGAACGACACAGAGAAGAUGAGCACGGCCCUUGAUCAAGGAUGACAUGCAAGUUCAUGAAACAUUCUAUGCUUUU